rnacentral:rRNA from 1 species
GACGAACGCUGGCCGCGUGCUUAACACAUGCAAGUCGAACGGUGAAGGGAUCAGCUUGCUGGUUCUGGAUGAGUGGCGAACGGGUGAGUAACACGUGAGUAACCUGCCCCCUUCUUCUGGAUAACCGCAUGAAAGUGUGGCUAAUACGGGAUAUUCUGCGCCUGCUGCAUGGUGGGUGUGGGAAAGAUAUUGUUUCGGUGGGGGAUGGGCUCGCGGCCUAUCAGCUUGUUGGUGGGGUGAUGGCCUACCAAGGCGGUGACGGGUAGCCGGCCUGAGAGGGUGGACGGUCACACUGGGACUGAGACACGGCCCAGACUCCUACGGGAGGCAGCAGUGGGGAAUAUUGCACAAUGGGCGCAAGCCUGAUGCAGCGACGCCGCGUGAGGGAUGGAGGCCUUCGGGUUGUGAACCUCUUUCGCCAGUGAAGCAGGCCUGUCCCUUGUGGGUGGGUUGACGGUAGCUGGAUAAGAAGCGCCGGCUAACUACGUG